rnacentral:rRNA from 1 species
GACGAACGCUGGCGGCGUGCUUAACACAUGCAAGUGGAGCGACGAACCGGGGCUCGCCCCGGGGCAGAGCCGCGAACGUGUCAGUAACACGCUGGUUACCUACCCCGAUGACCGGGACCACCCGAGGAAACUCGGGCUGCUCCCGGAUGUGGUCUUCGGACAAAAGGAAGCCUCGGCCUCCGCAUCGGGGUGGGCCAGCGGCGCAUUAGCUUGUUGGUGGGCUAACGGCCUACCAAGGCGACGAUGCGUAGCUGGUCUGAGAGGACGCUACGCCACACUGGGACUGGGACACGGCCCAGACUCCUAGGGGAGGCAGCAGUGGGGAAUCUUGCGCAAUGGGCGAAAGCGUGACGCAGCAACGCCGCGUGGGGGAAGAAGGCCUUCGGGUUGUAAACCUCUUUCAGUUGGGACGAAGCCUCGUCGGUUAAUAGCCGGCUGAGGUGACGGUACCUUCAGAAGAAGCCCCGGCUAACUACGUGCCAGCAGCCGCAGUAACAC